rnacentral:rRNA from 1 species
CCUAAUACAUGCAAGUCGAGCGGACAGAUGGGAGCUUGCUCCCUGAUGUUAGCGGCGGACGGGUGAGUAACACGUGGGUAACCUGCCUGUAAGACUGGGAUAACUCCGGGAAACCGGGGCUAAUACCGGAUGGUUGUUUGAACCGCAUGGUUCAGACAUAAAAGGUGGCUUCGGCUACCACUUACAGAUGGACCCGCGGCGCAUUAGCUAGUUGGUGAGGUAACGGCUCACCAAGGCGACGAUGCGUAGCCGACCUGAGAGGGUGAUCGGCCACACUGGGACUGAGACACGGCCCAGACUCCUACGGGAGGCAGCAGUAGGGAAUCUUCCGCAAUGGACGAAAGUCUGACGGAGCAACGCCGCGUGAGUGAUGAAGGUUUUCGGAUCGUAAAGCUCUGUUGUUAGGGAAGAACAAGUGCCGUUCAAAUAGGGCGGCACCUUGACGGUACCUAACCAGAAAGCCACGGCUAACUACGUGCCAGCAGCCGCGGUAAUACGUAGGUGGCAAGCGUUGUCCGGAAUUAUUGGGCGUAAAGGGCUCGCAGGCGGUUUCUUAAGUCUGAUGUGAAAGCCCCCGGCUCAACCGGGGAGGGUCAUUGGAAACUGGGGAACUUGAGUGCAGAAGAGGAGAGUGGAAUUCCACGUGUAGCGGUGAAAUGCGUAGAGAUGUGGAGGAACACCAGUGGCGAAGGCGACUCUCUGGUCUGUAACUGACGCUGAGGAGCGAAAGCGUGGGGAGCGAACAGGAUUAGAUACCCUGGUAGUCCACGCCGUAAACGAUGAGUGCUAAGUGUUAGGGGGUUUCCGCCCCUUAGUGCUGCAGCUAACGCAUUAAGCACUCCGCCUGGGGAGUACGGUCGCAAGACUGAAACUCAAAGGAAUUGACGGGGGCCCGCACAAGCGGUGGAGCAUGUGGUUUAAUUCGAAGCAACGCGAAGAACCUUACCAGGUCUUGACAUCCUCUGACAAUCCUAGAGAUAGGACGUCCCCUUCGGGGGCAGAGUGACAGGUGGUGCAUGGUUGUCGUCAGCUCGUGUCGUGAGAUGUUGGGUUAAGUCCCGCAACGAGCGCAACCCUUGAUCUUAGUUGCCAGCAUUCAGUUGGGCACUCUAAGGUGACUGCCGGUGACAAACCGGAGGAAGGUGGGGAUGACGUCAAAUCAUCAUGCCCCUUAUGACCUGGGCUACACACGUGCUACAAUGGACAGAACAAAGGGCAGCGAAACCGCGAGGUUAAGCCAAUCCCACAAAUCUGUUCUCAGUUCGGAUCGCAGUCUGCAACUCGACUGCGUGAAGCUGGAAUCGCUAGUAAUCGCGGAUCA